rnacentral:rRNA from 1 species
CUCCUUGAAUUUAUUAGGAGUCGUGCCUGCCCACUGAAUGAAUUAUUGAAGGGCCGCGGUAUUUUGACCGUGCAAAGGUAGCAUAAUCAUUAGUCUUUUAAUUGGGGGCUGGAAUGAAUGGUUUGACGAAAUAAUAACUGUCUUUUUUAUAAAAUUUUGAAGUUUACUUUUGAGUUAAAAGGCUUAAAUAGUAAUAGGGGACGAGAAGACCCUAUAGAUCUUUAUUUAUUAAUAUUGGAUUUAUUUUUGGUUGUUUUAUUGAUUAUUUUUUUAAUAAAUUUUAUUGGGGUGAUAUAAGAAUAUAAUUAACUUCUUGUAAAUUUAAACUUAAAUUUUUGGUUAGGGUGAUCCUUUAAUAUGGAUUUAAGAUUAAGAUACCUUAGGGAUAACAGCGUAAUUUUGUUUGAGAGUUCUUAUCGACAAUGAAGAUUGCGACCUCGAUGUUGGAUUAAGAUUAUAAUUUGGUGUAGAAGCUAAAUAUAUUGGUUUGUUC